GUAGAAGAACACCACUUUCAGAAUGUUCAAUUACAGGAAAACAGUCUCGAUGAAGGUGACAUGUGUUUGUUGUUUUGUUGUAACAUGCUGUACAGCAAUCAUCGCUGGUACACUCUCUGGCACAGGCAACUGAGGAAGGUACUGCUACAGUUGUGAUUACUGUUUCGUUCGAUGUGAUUCGUGUUUUAUAUUUGAUCGAAAACGAAUGCAAUUCACCUUUGCAAUAGCAGAAAAAUGAUAGAACUGCUACAACGAUUAUACGCAUAUACAUGUCUAUGUAUAGUUUAAGUCUCGAGUCACAAGUCUACACAACUGCAAUGCGGGUUAUAACAAUCAAAAUAUCAUUUUAUAGAAAUCAGGUUUUACCAAC
rnacentral:lncRNA from 1 species